AACGAACGCUGGCGGCAUGCCUAACACAUGCAAGUCGAACGAGACCUUCGGGUCUAGUGGCGCACGGGUGCGUAACGCGUGGGAACCUGCCCUUAGGUUCGGAAUAACUCCCCGAAAGGGGUGCUAAUACCGGAUAAUGUCUUCGGACCAAAGAUUUAUCGCCUUUGGAUGGGCCCGCGUUGGAUUAGCUAGUUGGUAGGGUAAAAGCCUACCAAGGCGACGAUCCGUAGCUGGUCUGAGAGGGGGAUCAGCCACACUGGGACUGAGACACGGCCCAGACGCCUACGGGAGGCCGCAGUAGGGAAUCUUCCGCAAGGGGCUAAAGCCGGACGGAGCAACGCCGCGUGAGGGAUGAAGGUCUUCGGAUCGUAAAACUCUGUUAUUAGGGAAGAACAAAUGUGUAAGUAACUAUGCACGUCUUGACGGUACCUAAUCAGAAAGCCAGGGCUAGCUACGUG
rnacentral:rRNA from 1 species